rnacentral:snoRNA from 1 species
CUAAAGGAGCAUGCAUCUCCUGGACUCCGCCCUAGUGGCAAAGGGGAGGAACAUAGGCACUGCCUAGUGAUGUCUGUUCCCUUUCCACAAUGUUAGAGAUGAAGCUGGACUUUGUGCCUGCACCUGCAAUAUUCUGACAACUUCUCCAUUGGGGGCAUUAUG